UAGAUUAUGUGCACUUAUUAUUACGUUAAUCGCUAACCUCAAACAUUAAGUUGACUUUGGCAUUAAAGUGUCUUAUCUAGGUACUCUUUGAAUGGUUUGGACGGACAUGAGCUUACUUUCUGGACAACUUUUGGACUUUCGACGACAUCUCACAACCCAUUGACCUCUACCCCACAAUUGAAACAUUUUGGCAUUCAUCGUGGGAUCAAAAAUCAACAAUUACUCUAUGAUGGCCACAAGGAACAUGACAAGUAACAUAGUAGCAGAGGAGUCAAAGAACCAACCUAACCAACUUGAAAUGCUUAUAGGAGCAUGCAGAAGCAGAUGAAAGAGAUGUAGUUGAGCAAAAGUUGAUAACCCUCCAGGUUGAGAAUGCAGCCACGCGUCAAGAGCAAAGUGCUUGACAUUCAGUGCCUCUUCCACCAACCCACUUAUCAGGUCGUGGGAAGACGCGUGCAAGACCGUCCAUGAAGCUAACACACGAGAGCCAACAGGGAUAACCGUCCAUGUAGACUAUCAAUACAGUAGGGCUGCUUCUUUUCUCACCGAGCAUAAUGGAAAUUCUCAUGCUUGAUAGGUGGAUCCCUUUAGCUUUUGAGAAGUGUGAUGACUCAAUCGAUCUCGACGAACUUAAUAGUCAUGAACUAGAUAACGUUCUACACCUCAAGUGACUAUGUUUGGAGUUGCCACCCAACUACACCGAUAGCUUUGUGCCCAUCCGCUUGCAAUUUUGGAUUCAAUUCCUCAUCAAUCGGUCACACCAUCUCAUGUCCCUUACUUUGACGAAUAUUAGGCAAGAGAAAGAGGAAUCACUAUGUGUUUUCAUGGAACAUUUUGGGAUGACUACAAGGCAUAUAAGGAACCUCAACCAUAAGGUAUCCUUGCACGACAUGAUCACAACCUUACGACCUGGAUCGUCUGUUGAUAGCCUUUGUAUGAGGUCAACCGUGAACAUGGAUGAAUUGAGGGAACGAGCCAUAGAGUUCAUGUGGGUUGAAGAUAUACGAGAUUUUUGCCGACAAAUGAAACAUGAUGCAUCAACAAGUGAAAAGAAGAAAGAAAGGAAACCGAAUGAGAAAAGAGACGACUCUCAACCUAAGGAGUUGCCGAAAGAGUUACGGUUUAAAUCAAGCCUAACACGAAUAUUAGACGUUUAUUGAUGAGUCAGCAAAACUAAGAAAUUGUUUAUUUAGCAUGUAAAAUAAAGGAAAAUAUAUCUUUAACAAUUUUUUUUGACAAUUUUCUAACAAUCGCUUAUAUGGCAGCUUGUGAUUGAUCCGUUUCAAAUAUACAAAUCAAUAAAAUAAUGACACAUAAUUUAUUGUUAAAAAAUUGUUAAAAUAUCAUGAUCCUAAAAUAAAUGAGGUCAUAUAUUAUUAUUACGGAAGUCAUAAAGAUGAUGUGAGAGAAAGCGAAGCAACAGAAGACCCGUCAAGAAGUUACCGGUGGAGUACUAUUUUACUAUUCCAUUAUUUGUGUAAUCAUAAUAAAAUGUUGAUGGAAAAUGUUCAUAACGAACCAGAAAUUCAAUAAGACAUAUCCGUGGUUGAAAUUUAGACACUUAUUCUCUUCAAAGUUUCGUGUCAUAGAAGCCUUAAAGUACAGAUAUAUAUAAAAGUUAUUUGUUAUAAAUCAAUUUGCAAUACAUAUAUAAGCAGUUAUAUCUAUGUGCUUCUGCACUGCAAAGUUUUCCUUCAAACCUUGUACUUCUCAUGGAUGAAGACCAUAAGGAGGAGGCGUAUAAAGAUAAUUAUGGCCUUGUGGAUCAUCAUAUGCUGUCUCGAGGAGGCGUCCAUCUUAAUGGUUCCCAAAACAAAAUAUUGGAACUUACUCAUCAGUAAUCAUAAUUAUUAUACUAAUUACACAUAAUUUUAAACUAAAACAAAGUAAAAGAACUUUAGAGAGAGAAGAAAAAAAGGUUAAAACUUGAAUCAGAAACAUUAACUGGUUCAAUUUCAAAAGAUUAAAUAAUAUUUUGUAGGAGUUGUGUGUUACUUACAUGGUUUGUGAUGAGAUUGGGACAUCCAAAAGGGCAACCUUGCUGCUGUCAGAUUCAUUGAUAAGAGUAGCACGAAUAUCAUAACCAUCUUUAAGAUAAGCUUCUUAAAGUAAGCCAUUUUAGUUUCAAAGGCAAAAGGUAUUCACAGAUUGCUGCAGUGUGUGAUGGUUGAAUGGAAUGUAGCAUGUAUUUAUACUAUACACACAAAGAGAGAUAAAAGAAAAAUCUUGUGCAUACUAUUCUAAUAUAUUUAUUAUUUUAAAUUUUAUUAUCUUAUAAAACCAAGAAUUUCAAACUUCAACAUGAACAAUUUCAAAUAUAUUUAUUGAUCUUAUCAAUAUCAUCUAACAUGUACUUGAGUUGAAAAUAUUAACAUCGUUUGUAUGAAUAAAAACAAAGUUUUAAAAUCUUUGUUCUUCUUAACCUUUAACAGGAAGUAAAAUGAAAUCACUUCACAUUCACAUAGUAUACUAUAAUAUAUGAGAUUACUGAUUUAUAAGUCAUCAGAAAUUACACAAUAACACAAUUUACUUCAUAGCAACUUGAUACUCUCAUUAGGCAAGGAAAACAAUUUUGAAACCCUCACCAGUAGCUCUGGAAAGGUCCAAAACCUUUAAAAUGACCUAAAAAACGUCCAAAAUUGAUACGCGGAACCUCAAAUUUAAUAUUUCCAAAACCUGAAAAAAAAAUAUGAAACUAGUGCGGUAGUACUUAGCGCCCAAAUGCUACCCUUCAACGUUAGAGCCACAAGAAUGGUGGCGCUCAAUGCCAGAAAAUUGGCGCUCAGCGUUAACGCUUCUGGAAUGAUGACGCUCAACGCUUGGUUUGAGCGCUCAGGAGCUAUUAGGAGAAACUUACCUUUUUUAAAUUAUUUUCUCCACUUACCCCACAACUUCUUAAGACUCUUAGGACCCUCUAGACCUUAAAGAAAAUAACUUAAAUUGACCCCUUGAGACCCAAUUUCACUCCUUCAAACUACCCAAACUCAAUUUUUACCAUUUCCAAUACUUAUGAUAGUUUACCUCCCUAACAGUUCUACACCAGAAUUUAUUCAUUUAACAGCCUAGACAAGUUCUAAUAGGUCUAAUAAUAUAUUCCUUCCAUAAGUCUUAAAUGACUUCACAACUGACCUUAAACUGUUGUUUCCCUCAACCAACCAAUUUUUCAAAAACUCACAUACUAAAACCAAUUAUUAUAAAUUGGUCUUAUCUCUAGUCGAUGUGGGAUUUCUAACACACCCUCUGCACGUCGAGGUAUAAACAUCUCGAGUUUGAUAGUAGAAUUAAUGGGUGGUCUGAUAGCGGCCCGUUAGGGGAAGGAACAAAAUGCCAUAUAGAUCUCGCUAGUUUAGGCUCCAAUCAUGACUCUCAUACUAUAUUAAGAAGUGGAUUUUAAAUCUAACUCAAUCCCACAAAACGGACUUUUAAGAUGAGAUUUAUACCCACUUAUAUAUAUUAUAAAUUGACUUUAUCUUUAGUCGAUGUAAAACUAUAUGUUUUUACUUUCAAUAGAAAAGAAAUAUUAGUGAUAUUAUGCAUAAGUAUAAUGACGUCUAGUAAUAUGUUUUUAAUUUGUGAAUGUUUUAUUUAAUUUUUUUUAUCAACUUCUCUCAGACUCACUUAAAAAUAAAUAAAUAAAUGAUCGUAUAAUCCAUAUAAAGUUUUUUAUCUACAUUUUCUAAAAUUUUAUUUUAAUUUAAUGCAAACUAUAUUUUUAACCUUUAUUAACCUCGGUAUUCUUAUAAUAUAGCUGGAAAAAGGUACAUCAAGAAGUUCCCAGUGCAGUACUAUAAUCAAUUAUUUACAAUACGUAUAUAAACAGUAAUAAAUAUAUAUGCUUCUGCUCUGCAAAGUUUUCCUUCAAACCCAAUGCUGUACUCUCUGUCUUGUGGAUCAUCUCCUCUAUAUGCUUCUGCACUGCAAAGUUUUCCUUGAAAAACCCAAUAUUGUAAUCUCUGACUUCUCAUGGAUGACCAUAAUAAUUAUGGCCUUCUGGAUCAUAUGAUGCCUCAAGGAUGCGUCCAUCUUAAUGAUUCCCAAAACAAAAUAUUAGAACUUACACAUCAGUAAUCAAAAUUAUUAUACUAAUUACACAUAAUUUUAAACUAAAACAAAACAAAAGAACUUUGGAGAGAUACGAAAAAAAAUAGUUAACACUUGAAUCAGAAACAUUAAGCGGUUCAAUUUCAAAAGAUUAAACGAUAUUUUAUAGGAAUUAUGUAUUAUUUGUUAGAAUACAAACAAAGUUUCACAUCGAGUAAAAGAAGACUCAAACAUGAAUUUAUAUAUAUAUAUAUAUAUAUAUAUAUAUAUAUAUAUAUAUAUAUAUAUAUUUUUAUUGAUAUAAAAAUAAAUCUGUAAAAGCUUGAAUUUUACGAAGAUAUGUGUAUAUCAAACCUCUCCUACGUAUUAAAUAAUAUUUUACAGGAGUUGUGUGUUACUUACAUGGUUUCUGAUGAGAUUCGGACAUCCAAAAGGGCAACCUUGCUGCAGCCAGAUUCAUUGAUAAGAGUAGCACAAAUAUCAUAACCAUGUUUAAUAAGAUAAGCUUCUUAAAGUAAGCCAUUUUAGUUUCAAAGGAAAAAGGUAUUGCUGCAGUGUGUGAUGAUUCAAUGGAAUAUAGCAUAUAUUUAUACUAUACACACAAAGACAGAGAUAAAGAAAAAUCUUGUGCAUACUAUUCUAAUAUAUUUAAUAUUUUAAAUUUUAUUAUCCUAUAAAAGCAAUAAUUUCAGACUUAUACUUCAAAUAAGUUAAAAAUAUUAGCAUUGUCUGUAAGAACAAAAACAAAAAGUUUAUUGCGACACACUUGAUACCUCAAAAGUAAUAUAAAAAAUAGUUUAAAUACAUUUAAUAAAUGAUAACUUUAACGAUAUUAUAUCAACAAACUAUAUCUCGGAUAAGAUUAUUAAUAUAAACAAUAUUAUUUCGAUAUACUUUAAGUCCAAAUAAUGACGUUGUUUAUUUAUUUUGUGUUAUACCAUAUUUUAUCAAAUUCAAUAAGAACAAUUAAAAAAAUAAUAUAUAUUAAAAUAAAUAUAAAAUAAAAUAUAGAUUCAUACGAGCAAAUAUAGCACGGUGAUAAAAUACUUUUAUAUUGAUCAAAAGAUAUAAAUGUUUAUAAAAUUUAAAAAAUUUGGUAAAAAAGACUAAAACCAUAGUUUUCUAAAGUUGAAGGACUAAAUUGUACUAUAGUUUGAAAGAGGGACUGAACACAAAAACGGCCAAUAAUUGGGGGACGAAAAACAUAUUUAACCCUUUUUUUUAUAAUGGAUGGCAAACCAAAGUAACCCUUUUCAAAUUAUUAUUUCUAAUAAACAUUUUCUUAUAGAUAAUUUUUUUUAUCAGCUCUAUGGAUUGUAUAAAGAAAAUAAUAGAUUAUCAUGUGCCAUAUUAUCUUAAUUUAGAAAACUAACAUGUCCAUAUUUAAAUCACAUCUCAUAAAAGAUAUAGAUUUUUUUUCUUGAUAACAUUUCAACAAUAUAUAUAUAUAUAUAUAUAUAUAUAUAUAUAUAUAUAUAUAUAUAUAUAUAUAUAUAUUUUAUUUUUUUUUAUAAAAACGACAAAACGAAAGACUUGUAAGAAGACUUGAUACAAAAGCUACAAAAAACGUCCUUAUUCAUCUUUUAACAUUUUGCAAAGACCUUGACUUAAUAAAAAGGGUACCGUCAUUAACUUCUUAAAUCUAUUACUCUAUAAAAUUUUAGUCACCACAUAAUUUUCUUCCCCUGUAUAAAUCUAUACCGGUACACGAAUCAAUAUAUUUUCUUAAAUUAUUAUAGAUAUUUUGCAAAUUAAAAUGAAUAGAAUCUAUAUUUUUUUACUUCAAGUUUAAUGUUGGUACCUAAGGUAGUGUUCUUUUAGUUUGGGUUUCUUUUUUUUUCAUUCAUUUUGUUUUUAAAAUACAUCUUAAAAGGUUAAUAGAGAUAGUGUACAUAAAUUAUUAUUGACAUCACAUCUGAUGUAAUGUGAAAUUAUUAAAAAUAUCAAAAUAAGUCAUAGUAAAGAUAUAAGUAGUAGGAAGAUUUGUCUUAAAAAAUCUUUAGAAUCAUUUUUUUUUAUAGAUGAAACAAUAUUUCGAUUUCAAGUUCCUUGAGAUAAUAUCAUUAGGAUUAAUCAUCAUAUUAAUGGUAUUGACUAUUAAACUCACUGUUGCAUCAUAAUUUUUAUCCUCAUAUAACUAAGAAAAGAUGUAUUGAAAUUGUUUUUGGCCUUAUCUCUUAAGAGAUGUAAUAUUUAUAAUAUAUAUAAAAUAAAUAAAGAUUCAAGUUUUAGUAUUCUAUUCUAAUUUCUAACAAAUGAGUGGAAUAAUGUGAGAAAUUGGAAAAAUAAAUUUAUAAAGUAGUUCAUGUUGAUAAGUCGAAAACUUUAUGCUAAAUAUUAAUAGUUUUUUAAAAAUCUAAUUUAAUUUUAUAAAAUCGAUUUAUAAAUACUUAUUUUAUAUAUUAUAAAUUAGUUUUACCUUUAGUUAUUUUAUAUAUUAUAACUUAGUUUUAUUUUGCUCAAUAAUUGCUCAAGAUUUCCAAUAAAUAUUGUAACUUUUCUUACUUUUAAUAAAUAAUUUCAUAAAUAUGGUAACUUUUUCUUACUUUUAAUAAAUAAUUUCAUACGUGGGGUAUAUGCAUUAUAAUGUAAUGUAAUAUAGAACUAUGCAUGUUAACAAUCAUGUACUAAAUUUGGGAUAAAUAUGAGAGUUGAAAGGAAAGUUUAAUUACAGAAAAUAAUCACUAAAAGAAUAUUGAUGUUAAUAAAAUCGAUAAAAUAUUUAUCACAAAAAGAUAAUAUAACAUUAAGAUGUGCACUAUAAAGCAGAAGAGAGUAAAUUUUUAAAAUAUUCAUGCAUGAAAAUAGAUUAUAUUUCUUUUUAAUAUAAAGUUGCAUCUUAUUUGAGUUUAUUAGAUAAUAAAUAUAUAUUAAAACAAGUUUGUCUAAGCAAACAUUGUUUUGAAGUUUAACAUAUGUCUAAAUGAAAUAAUGUUUAAUUGUUUAGGAUAAAACAUAAGAAACGCUAAAUGCUACACUUUAAGUAUCCUAAACUAUAUAAGAGUCUCUAACUAAGACUAGUGUCUAAAGUAUGUUUGACCGUCUAACUAAGAAUAGUGUCUAAAGUAUGUUAAAGACAAAAUUGUCUAAGCGCCAUAAAAAUUCUCAUGUUUUAAAAUUUAAUCAAAUAAUAUUAAAAAAAAUAAUAAUAAGAAAAUAACUUGGGGUGAAAACAAAAGACUUAGAGCCUGAACCCCAAACAUACACAACCUAGAACCAAAUAAACAUAGAAAAACUUAGAUAAACACUUAGGUAUUAAGAAAUAGGAAAAACAUCUAGGUUAAAACACUCAGACGCAUGACUAAACUUUGUUGAGCCUAAAACGUCUAAGAAAGAUUGAGUUAAACGAUCAAUGAUUUUACUACCUGAUGGAAUAAGUAUUCAGCUUAUCUCAAAAAACAAAAUAGGUCAAGACAAUGUCUCUGACAAAACAUAUAUAAAAGAGAGCUUAAGCAACCUAAACAUUAUCUGUCUAAAAAGAGACAAAAGCUAAACAAACAUUUAUUUGACUAAACGAUGCAAUGAGCUUAAAAAAUACCCCAUCUUAUGAUGAAGUGUAUAUAUAUAUAUAUAUAUAUAUAUACACGUUUGAUAUCUUUAGAGAAAAGAAAUUAAUUGUAAAAUGUUAACUAACGGUAAAUGUUAACUAACGGUAAAUGUUAACUAAUGGAUUAAACUAGUAUAAAAACAAGUGUGUCUUGUUUUUCAAAGAUUUUCCAUUAAAAGUUUUAAAAAAUUAAGCGUUUAACAUCUAUUACAAAUAGUCUUAUUCCCGAAAAAAUAAUAUUAUAAAUAAUCUAUAUUAAACCAUUUUGUUAGUAGGGUGAUUACAAGUAAAAUAUCACAUGAAAUAAAACAUAAUAUUUUAAAUAUUUGAUAAUAUUAAGACAUAAAAUCUUAUUUUAAAUGGUUUAGACCAAUUCUUGUGGACGACAAAUCGCUACAUAUUUGACUUUGAACAACUGCUCACCCAGAAUAACAAAAUGCCGACUACAUUAACAUUCCUCAUACUUUAACUUGUUUCUAAACUCCAUUUUUCAUGAAUAUGACAAUAAAUAAUACUCGUUGAGAUUCUCGAGUCUGGAUUUUUAAGGGAAGAAGGGAAACAGUACUGAUAUUAUAUAUAAAUUUGACUGGCACCUAGUAAUAUGUUUUUAAUUUGUGAAUGUUUUUCUUUUUAUCAACUUCUCUUAUACUCACUUAAAAAUAAAUAAAUAAAUUAUCUGAUAAUCCAUAUAAAAAUUUUUAUUUACAUUUUCUAAUAAAAUUUUAUUUAAAUUUAUAUAUAAACUAUAUUUUUAACCUCUAUUAAGCUUUCUAUUUUUAUAAUAUAGCUGAAACAAGGCACAUCAAGAAGUUCAUUAUUUUAAUGUAUUAAAAACAUGAUAUAUAAAUAACUUUAUAUAGAAGAGAAAAAUAAAAAAAAUAAAACAUAACUAAGUCAAAUACAAAUACAAAUUUGUAACUAUUACAAUCAAAUUCAAUUUCCGAAAAAUCUAUACUAAUAAUAUAUUAAUAUGAAAUUGAGUUUAAGAAAAAUAUAUGCUAAUAAUCUAUAUGGUUAUGGCCUGCAAAGUUUUCCUUCAAACCCAAUAUUGUACUCUCUGACUUCUCAUGGAUGAUGACGAUUAUAAUUAUGGUCUCGUGGAUCAUCUGCUCUCAGAAGCCGUCCAUCUUAAUGGUUCCAAAAACAAAAUAUUAAAACUUACUCAUCACUAAUCAAAAUUAUUAUACUAAUUAUACAUAAUUUUAAACUUAAACAAAAUAAAAGAACUUUGAAGAGAGUGUUAUUAGGAGGAGGUUCCCUACACACAUAAAACUCCAUGGUAAGACAUUGUUCGCUUUAGACUAAGCUGUCAUGAAUUUGUUUUUGGUACCAAAAACAAAACUGUGAGAACUUGACCUAAAACGGACAAUGUCUUACCAUGUGUAGAGUUCUAUAUGUGUGGCGAACCUUCUCAAAGAGAAGAAAAAAAUAGUUAAAACUUCAAUUUCAAAAGAUUAAAUAAUAUUUUGUAGGAGUUGUGUUACUUACAUGUUUUCUGAUGAGAUUGGGACAUCCAAAAGGGCAACCUUGCUGCUGUCAGAUUCAUUGAUAAGAGCAGCACAAAUAUCAUAACCAUGUUUAAUAAGAUAAGCUUCUUAGAGUAAGCCAUUUUAAUUUCAAAGGAAAAAGGUAUUCCCAAAUUGCUGCAAUGUGUUAGGGUUCAAUGGAAUGUAGCAUAUAUUUAUACUAUACACACGAAGACAG
rnacentral:lncRNA from 1 species